ACGGAGGGUGCAAGCGUUAAUCGGAAUUACUGGGCGUAAAGCGCACGCAGGUGGCUGAGUCAGUCGAUUGUGAAAGCCCUGGGCUUAACCUGGGAAUUGCAGUCGAUACUACUCAGCUAGAGUAUGGGAGAGGGUAGUGGAAUUCCCGGUGUAGCGGUGAAAUGCGUAGAUAUCAGGAGGAACACCGGUGGCGAAGGCAGCUUCCUGGACAAUAACUGACGCUGAGGCGCGAAAGCUAGGGGAGCGAACGGGA
rnacentral:rRNA from 1 species